rnacentral:pre_miRNA from 1 species
UCUUAUGAAAGAAAAAAGAAAGUGGUUUCUUGAGCUAAAAUCUACUCCUGGUGAAGAUGCUGGAGA